rnacentral:lncRNA from 1 species
AUGCUACCAGAGACUGGGCGGGGCCUGUGGCUACAAGAAAGAGAACGGUGGUGGCAGCACAGUGGGGUAUGUGCAACUACUCAGGGCAGUGUGACAUUCACCAGGGCCCCAGAAUCAGGGAAGCCAUCAGAAGGGAAACUUAAGAGUGGCCUUGUUCCUGAGACACAUGGGAAAUACCUCCUGGGGACUCCCAGAACCAAUCAAGAGGGAAUUUGCAGGAGACCAAGCAGGUGGAAACCAGAAUCAGGUAAAAAGAAGCCGCACACUGAAGCUGCAAGAGCGUUUCAGAAGCUAGAAGAGAUGCGAACAACACGAUUUCAUGCCAGAGAAAAGGCUCAACACCUCAUGGAAGCUGCCAAGACUACCAUCUAAAGCUAUGGCUCUACAUUGACCCCUUUCAGCCAUAGCUGGAGUAGCUGGGACAUGGGGCACCAAGUCCCUAGGGUGCACACAGACCAGAGACCCUGGGCCCAGCACAAGAAACCACUUUUCCUCCUAGGCUUCCAGGCCUGUAAUAAGAGGAGCUGCAGUGAAGACCUCUGACAUGCCCUGGAGACAUAUUCCCCAUGGUCUUGGGGAUUAACAUUUAGCUCCACUUUACUUAUGGAACUUUCUGCAGCCAGCUUGAAUUUCUUCUCAGAGAAUGGGAUUUUCCUUUCUAUCACAUUAUCAGGCUGCAAAUUUUUCAAACUUUUAUGCCUUGUUUUCCUUUUAAAACUGAAUGCUUAUAACAGCACCCAAGUCACCUCUUGAAUGCUUCACUGCUUUGAAAUUUCUGCCACCAGAUACUCUAAAUCAUCUCCCUCAAGUUCAAAGUUCCACAAAUCUCUGGGGCAGGGGCAAAAUGCCACCAGUCUCUUUGCUGAAAACAUAACAAGAGUCACCUUUGUUCCAGUUCCCAGCAAGUUCCUCAUCUCCAUCUGAGGCCACCUCAGCCUGGACCUUAUUGUCUGUAUUGCUAUCAGCAUUUUGGGCAAAGCCAUUCAACAAGUCUUUAGGAAGUUCGAAACUUUUUCACAUUUUCCUGUCUUUUCCUGAGCACGCCAAACUGUUCCAACCUCUGACUGUUACCCAGGUCUGAAGUCACUUCCACAUUUUUGAAUAUCUUUUCAGCAAUGACCCACUCUACUGGUACCAAUCUACUGUAUUAGUCAAUUUUUAUGCCGCUAAUAAAGACAUAUCUUAGAUUGGGCAAUUUACAAAAGAAAGAGGUUUAAUUGGACUUACAGCUCCACGUG